AUUGAACGCUGGCGGCAGGCCUAACACAUGCAAGUCGAGCGUGAAAGCCUUCGGGUGAGUAGAGCGGCGGACGGGUGAGUAACGCGUGGGAAUUUACCUAGUAGUGGGGGACAACGUUCGGAAACGGGCGCUAAUACCGCAUACGCCCUACGGGGGAAAGCGGGGGAUCUUCGGACCUCGUGCUAUUAGAUGAGCCCGCGUAAGAUUAGCUAGUUGGUGGGGUAAAGGCCUACCAAGGCGACGAUCUUUAGCUGGUCUGAGAGGAUGAUCAGCCACAUUGGGACUGAGACACGGCCCAAACUCCUACGGGAGGCAGCAGUGGGGAAUAUUGCACAAUGGGCGCAAGCCUGAUGCAGCCAUGCCGCGUGUGUGAAGAAGGCUCUAGGGUUGUAAAGCACUUUCAGUAGGGAGGAAAGGGUAUAAGUUAAUACCUUAUAUCUGUGACGUUACCUACAGAAGAAGCACCGGCUAACUCCGUGCCAGCAGCCGCGGUAAUACGGAGGGUGCAAGCGUUAAUCGGAAUUACUGGGCGUAAAGCGCGCGUAG
rnacentral:rRNA from 1 species